UGUUAUUCUUAAAAAGAAUUAUUUUUGUUCGGUAUUAGGAAAACAAGUUAUUAUAACUUUCUUACCUUAAUAUCAUUUAGAGCAAGGAUAGUAAUACAAUGUGUGGCUAACACACUAGGAGGCAACAACAAUGGAACAAGGUAAAGUAAAAUGGUUUAACGCAGAAAAAGGUUUUGGUUUCAUCGAACGCGAAGGCGGAGACGAUGUAUUCGUACAUUUCUCAGCUAUCCAAGGUGAAGGCUUCAAAUCUCUUGACGAAGGUCAAGACGUUACAUUUGAUGUUGAGCAAGGCCAACGCGGACCUCAAGCAUCUAACGUACGUAAAGCUUAAUUAAUAGUAUUCCAAAACAGGCCCUUUCCAGGGUCUGUUUUUUU
rnacentral:sRNA from 1 species